AAUUAUUAAGCUAUAAUAUACAUUAGAAAAUAAAAGAGAGAAGAACAAUGCAAAAUGUGAAAUAUUUAAAAUUAACCUGUGCUUUCAAAGCACAAAAAAACUAUUACUGCACUUCCACGCGUGUCCUGUAAGACAGAGCUUUGAAAAUUUCAUAAAUCAAUUUAUGAAUUCUGACAAAUAGAUCCAUAAUGCCAAAUACAUGAAAAGAAAAAAAGCAUGUAUAAAUAAGUUUGACAUAAGUAUAGAACUAUUCAUUCUUCUUUCAAAUUUCUUUAAUGAAAUAUUUACAAUACCCUUUUUCUCAAUGUCUAUGCGUCUUAAUGCAUGUUAUUUCAAAUGUUUGUCAUCAGUAACUCAAUGCAAGAUAUUGCUAGCACCAAAAAACUUUAAAACUAAAACCAACUGUUGGCUAGUAACUGAAAUAACCUAUGGCCACCAUGUAGAACGUGCAAUGUCGAGCCUUGAGCUGGUUGUCAAUGCUAAAGGGAAGAGCUACAAAUCACAUUUGCUGGGGUUUUGGCAGCAGAGGAAGAAAACAGAAGCAAGUAACCCGGAUGAUGUAAAGAUUAACUUCAUUACUUGAAUAAGCAAUAUGCCAUAUACAUAAGUAGUCUGGAUUACAUGUGUUGGUUUUUUUAGCAGAAAACAAAGGAGAAAAAGAAAAACGAAUGCAAAGAAGUUUGAAUAAGAAGAAAACUGGAUUUGAUCUCCAAAAAACAGAUCUUUUUCAUUGACUUGAGAAGCAUUUAUGUUACAAUGAAAUAUGGCAGUUACCUAAUGUAUAACUACUCCCACUAAUACAUGACUAAAGCCUAGCUAGAAUUACACACAAAAUGUAGCUGACAUACCAGCUAUAACAUCAAACAUAAAUCAACAACUACUCCUACUAACUUUAACUAUAAAUUACAUUGGAACUAAAUCAAGUUACAAAUGAACAAGAUUUCCUUUGCUUUUACAUAACAAGAAAGAUGAAUAAUUGUAAUAAGAUCUGAAGCUAUGAUUUCCUCUGCUCAUUAUCAAUAAUUUUAGAUUUCAAGACUGGAUGAUCAGCAGACAUAAUCUACUAUAGUUAGAAAUUAAUACCAAAAGAGCUACCCAGAAGCAAUAUAUAAUGUUGAAAUCCCAAACUGUUGAACAUUUUACCUCUUAAUAUUCUGUCUAACACUUGAUCAUAUUAUGCAACUUAAAACAGUAUAAGAUGCUGCCCAAUUGUUACAACAGCAAAUAAACAAACUCAUUAAUUGUUAGGAUGAAUCUAAUAACCACCCCCAUACUUCAUACCUGACGAAAUGCAAAUCGUUAACACCAACAAAGCCUCCUAGCCCUGAACCGAGAGUAGCUCUCUAGAAACCUGUGCAAGAACCGACAAUUAGCAGGAGUUAGUGGGCAUUGUUGACAGAAAUCACCCUGGUGAAAGGACUUAGCAGCAUGAACGAGAGCACACCCAAUUGGACAUAACCACAUGCAAGUUACCAAGCACUGAAAUUUGCUAGUAUUAGGGCCUUUUGACAUAGAACCAGAAGGGGAUACUUACAAUUAUCGACGAUAGAGAAGGACAGAUUGAAGGAGGAGGAGAAUGUUAGGUUUGAGGGGAAGCAUUGACUACAGACAAAGUUUAACCCUACAAGAAACGAGUAUGUAUUUCCCACAGACUACUACCCUGCCUGCUCAUCACAUAAACUUAAUGAGAUGUGCCAACAAUCUCAAUCUAAAAGUGCACAUAUUUAUUAAACUAGCAGAACAGAACAGCUCGCUUUAACCAUGAGAAUGAAAAAUCAAUAUCAGUAUGCUUUGUAAUUAGCAUCACAAGUUGCUCUCUUCUCAAACUUACCAACAUAUGGAAAUCUCUGUCUUCUAAUAAAACCCUAGUAUCACAUACAUGAUCUAUAAAUAAAAAAGAUGACUCUUCUUUACACAUUUAACACACACUUAACAGAGCAGUACAUUGUUUAACGGAUUGACAUCACGAUGCAAUUUCUUCUCAGCAAAGUGGGUAUGGGAUAAUAAAUCACGUUUAUGUUAGAUCAACAUAUGUAAAAAUUGGUCACGGAAGAAAGAAAGGUAAGGUAAAAUAAGAAGGGAGAGGGAGGGAAGAAGGUCUCCGCUACCCAGCACACGCGUCCAGUGCAAGGGGAAAAGGGAGAAGCUUAGCACGAGACAAACAGAAACCCAGAAACAAACAAAGCAUAAAAAAGGAAGAAGAAUAAGAUUCUUCAACAGACAGAUGAAAUACAAAAAAAAAAAAGCAUAAAAAACUUUUACCUUGAUUGAGAUUCAAGAAGGGAACUGGAUGGAGAAGGAGAAGGAAGAUGAAGAACGGAAGAAGGAGAAAGAAUACGGUGAGAGUGGAGGAAGAUUUUCCGAAAAAUGUCUUACAGAAAUAAAAUUGGUAAGAUAUUUUCCGGAAAAACUCAUCUCAUUUACAUGUUUUAGAAAAUAUUUUCCCAUGUAAUUGAUUUUCAAGCAAACAAACACUAUCUUUUUCUAGUAAACAAACAUACCCUAAAUUAAAGAAUAAGAUAAAUUUAAAAAAAUGGUUUAGGAUUGAAAAAUAAAUUAUAAAAUUUUAG
rnacentral:lncRNA from 1 species